GCGGUUGUGGCGAAGUGGUUAACGCAUCGUUCCGACACUCGUGGGUUCGAUUCCCAUCAUCCGCC
rnacentral:tRNA from 1 species